GUGUAACAGUAGCCUGACAAGUGGCUUUAAUUUGGUUCUGGUUAUUAAUGCUUGUUGGUAAAUGUUUUAAUAGAUGGAUCAGAUCCAAAUGAUCCCACAUAUUGCACCAUCCCUGAUCUUCCACCAGUGGGAAAGAGGACUGAGACAUUGCGUCCUAAUGAGUGCCCAUAUUCCUUGAUCGACAGCACUUUCCUUGGAGGAAAUAAUGAAGGUUCGACGCAGCUCAGUGCCUUGGAGAAACCGAAAGAACCUGAAAACAACAACGACCAAUCUUUCGUUUGACCUGUACUUCUACUUCUGCCUUUGUUGUUAAUCUGUGCGAUUAAUCAGUGGGGACAAAAACAAGAGCAGUAUGGGAAGUGUAAUCAAUUUGAUCCAGUCUGACAUCUGUGAGCCAUUGAGUGCAAAGAGGGACAAUGAUGAAUGUGUGUGACAGCCACCAUUAUAAUAAUAAAAGAGGAAGAAAUACAUACACAAAUGUGAAAAUAAAUAAAUGUGAAUACAAAUA